GACGAACGCUGGCGGCGUGCUUAACACAUGCAAGUCGAACGGAAAGGCCCUUCGGGGUGCUCGAGUGGCGAACGGGUGAGUAACACGUGGGUGAUCUGCCCUGCACUUUGGGAUAAGCCUGGGAAACUGGGUCUAAUACCGAAUAGGACUCCGGCCUUCAUGGGUUGGGGUGGAAAGCUUUUGCGGUGUGGGAUGGGCCCGCGGCCUAUCAGCUUGUUGGUGGGGUAAUGGCCUACCAAGGCGACGACGGGUAGCCGGCCUGAGAGGGUGACCGGCCACACUGGGACUGAGAUACGGCCCAGACUCCUACGGGAGGCAGCAGUGGGGAAGAUUGCACAAUGGGCGCAAGCCUGAUGCAGCGACGCCGCGUGAGGGAUGACGGCCUUCGGGUUGUAAACCUCUUUCAGCACAGACGAAGCGCAAGUGACGGUAUGUGCAGAAGAAGGACCGGCCAACUACGUGCCAGCCGCCGCGGUAACAC
rnacentral:rRNA from 1 species